GCGGGUGUGGCCUAGUGGUAUGGCGUUUCCUUCCCAAGGAAAAGGUCGCGGGUUCGAAUCCCGUCACCCGCUCCA
rnacentral:tRNA from 15 species